rnacentral:tRNA from 1 species
GGGGUUGUGGUUCAGUGGUAGAGCAUUCGCCUAGCCCACGCGAGGCCCUGGGUUCAAUCCUCAGCAACACCU